rnacentral:rRNA from 1 species
UACGAAGGGGGCUAGCGUUGUUCGGAAUCACUGGGCGUAAAGCGCACGUAGGCGGAUCUUUAAGUCAGAGGUGAAAUCCCAAGGCUCAACCUUGGAACUGCCUUUGAUACUGGGGAUCUUGAGUCCGGGAGAGGUGAGUGGAACUGCGAGUGUAAGAGGUGAAAUUCGUAGAUAUUCGCAAGAACACCAGUGGCGAAGGCGGCUCACUGGCCCGAUACUGA